rnacentral:rRNA from 1 species
GACGAACGCUGGCGGCGUGCUUAACACAUGCAAGUCGAGCGGUAAGGCCCUUUCGGGGGUACACGAGCGGCGAACGGGUGAGUAACACGUGGGUGACCUGCCCUUAGCUCUGGGAUAAGCCUGGGAAACGUGGGUCUAAUACCGGAUAUGACUCCAUGACGCAUGUUGUGGGGUGGAAAGCCUUGUGCGGCUAGGGAUGGGCCCGCGGCCUAUCAGCUUGUUGGUGGGGUGAUGGCCACCAAGGCGACGACGGGUAGCCGGCCUGAGAGGGCGACCGGCCACACUGGGACUGAGACACGGCCCAGACUCCUACGGGAGGCAGCAGUGGGGAAUCUUGCGCAAUGGGCGAAAGCCUGACGCAGCGACGCCGCGUGGGGA